AACUCGAUCUCAAAUCAAGUAAGACUACCCGCUGAACUUAAGCAUAUCAAUAAGCGGAGGAAAAGAAACUAACAAGGAUUCCCCUAGUAACGGCGAGUGAAGCGGGAUGAGCUCAAAUUUAAAAUCUGGCCGGUUUACUAGUCCGAAUUGUAGUUUAUAGAAGCGUUUUCGGUGGCAGCCUGGGUAUAAAUCCUUUGGAAUAGGGUAUCAUAGAGGGUGAGAAUCCCGUCUUUGACUCAGUGCAUGCUACUAUGUGAUACGUUUUCAAAGAGUCGAGUUGUUUGGGAAUGCAGCUCAAAAUGGGUGGUAAAUUUCAUCUAAGGCUAAAUAUUGGCGAGAGACCGAUAGCGAACAAGUACCGUGAGGGAAAGAUGAAAAGAACUUUGAAAAGAGAGUUAAACAGUGCGUGAAAUUGUUGAAAGGGAAACGUUUGACACCAGUUAUGCGGGUGGAAAAUCAGUCUUUUGCAAUGGGGAGUUGUGGGCGUUCGGACCGCAAGGCUGGCGUUUGCUUCAUCUUUGUUGUAAGUGAUGCACUUUUUCAUUUGCAGGUCAACAUCAGUUUGCUUUGCUGGACAAAACCCCAAGGGAAGGUGGCAGCUUAGGCUGUGUUAUAGCCCUGGGGCGAUACAGUGGAGUGGACUGAGGUUUCGCAGUGUGUGCUCUCGGGCAAGGCUGACUGGGUGCUAUGGGAUCGUUCGGCGUACAAUGCAUGCAUUUUGCGUCGUGUCUUUUUCAUACUCGCUCAACUCGGCUCUUCCACACUUAGGAUGUUGACUUAGUGGUUUUAAAACGACCCGUCUUGAAACACGGACCAAGGAGUCUAACAUAUAUGCAAGUGU
rnacentral:rRNA from 1 species